rnacentral:sRNA from 1 species
UGCAAGGCACAGUGAAAACCAAUGAAGAUAAGUCUGAUUGUGUGACAGGGAAAAGUGUAUGUGUGUGUGAGUGUGUGUAUGUGUGGGUGUGUGUGGUUGUAUGUGUGGGUGUGUGUGGGUAAAGAGACAGAACAUGACAAUAUAAAGGGUAUUUUUCCACAUUGGUGCUUAAGUCAAUGUUGUAUGUGACAUAGCUACAAUUCUCAUCCAUUCAACAAUAGAAAUUAGCAAAAGCUUUGUAGAUUGAGGGAAUAAUUUAGUUCUGAUUCGUUAAUUUGAAAAUUGGAAGACCAGUGUCCGUCCAUGGCAGAAACUUUGAUUCAUUCACAAACGAUUCAAAUAUAUAUGGGAAGUUUUAUCUUCAUAGAGAUUGAUUGGUCUGGAUACUGAGUUUAAGAACUGUGUAUUCCUUGAAGCAUGAUUCUAAUGAAAUCCUCAAGAGCUUUGCUCAAUAGAAUCCAAACCACUUGCAUUGUAUCAUUUUCACUUGCUUUUCCUCAAAUCUGAUUUCAAAUUCACCUGAGACUUCUAGAGAGUUUAUCCAGGUACAUUGUUUGUACAAGGACACCUGCUAACUGCCAAAGACUGUAUCAUUUAUGUAUCAUCCAAUUAUUCAGCAUCGAUUAUGUCAAAUGUGCCAUGUUAUAUUUUUUCUCUGUUUAAAAAAGAAUCUGUUUUUGUAUAUGACCAAUGAAAAUAAAAGAUGUAAAUCAUUUUGAAGUUAUCAUAAGACAAUCAAAGGCAUUUUACCAAAUCUGCUAAAAUUCUCACGUAUGAGAGGAAAGCUGUAUGUUUGGAGAAAAAAACUGCAACAUUCAAAAUUGUUUAUUUCUGUUUUCUGACUUAUUUCAAUGGUGCAUUUUGAUUGCUUCUGUAAGCUUCUUGUAGAAUAUUAAAUAUGUACGCCAAUAGAUGCUACAAACUCAUCAGUCUAUACACACCAUCUGAGGGCCAGCUAUUUACGGUGCUACAUGUUAACUGUGAGGCUUUGUCCAAGUUCUUUGUGUUUUGUAAAUUGGCCCAAAUUGCCUAUGUGCUGGCAUAAUGAAUGGUAUUGUAUGUGAGAUUUUUUUUUCAUUUUCACAGCCAAAUAAAAUGUUUGAUAAUCUC